rnacentral:tRNA from 1 species
GGGGGGAUAGCUCAAUGGUAGAGUUUAAGCCUGAAAAGCUUAAUGCGGUGGUUCGAUUCCACCUCCUCCCA